GGCUCAGUGGUCAAAUGGUAAAGCGCUCGUUGUGGAGCCAUAGGGUCCUGGGUUCGAUCCCCAACAGGGUUA
rnacentral:tRNA from 1 species